AUAUUUAUUAAAAAAAAAAAAAAGAGUAUAUAUAUAUAUAGGUAUGAUUGAGUCACUUGACCGUACAGCAGAGGUUGGCCCAAUGUUGUAAAUCAGCUGUAAUUGAAAAAGAAAAAAAUGCAGCUUCCCAGACCCCAUCCCAGAUAUAGCUUCACUGGGUCCGGGGUGGGCCCUGGAAAGUCUGCUUGUUAAGUAUCCCAGGGUGAUUUAUUAGAGGCAGAGUCCAAGGCCCGAGCUCAGGGAAGCCCUGCCCUGUGUACACAGGCACAGCAGAAAUUUUCCAGUGCCCCAGUCCUGUUCAGAAGAGACUCCCCUUGUGGCUGAGAAGGAGCAGGUAUCACAAUUCAGUUUCCCUUUUCAGUCAUUCAGUGAAGCUGGCUGCUAGGGUUACCUAUUGUGGCAGGUGGUUCUUUUCAGGAUUACUCUAAUACUAGAAGGUUAGAUAGGCCCCAUCAGUUCCUCUCUUGCUGACGUCUGAAGCCCUUUGCUAACUCCUAACCUGGGUUGGGCUCAUGCUGCUAGCUUGGAAGGGAGAGCUUUGUAUCCCAUUACUAGUUCCUUGAACCACAAUCCAAGACUCAGCUUGGUUUUCCCAGGAGUUUUGUUUUGCACAGCUGAUGCAUUCCAGGCAUUGUUGGGAUGCGUUUUUCUUCUCCUUUUUCCCUACAGCCCCCAGCCUAUACGAGCAUAUAUAGCCUCCUGGGGUGAUCAUCUUCAAAUCCUAACCCUCUCUCCCACAGCUGUCUCUCCCACCAGAUGCCCUGGCUUUUCACUGUGCAAAUCUGCUCUCACCUAAGACCACCCAAUAUCGGCUCCAAAUUCCAGCUCAGAAAGGAAGCUGCUCCUAGUGCUGCUGCUGUGUCUCAGAUGUAGGUUUCUAGAGAGGAUCCUCCUUUGUCUGCAGUCACUGCUUGGCGCCCCACAAUAGCAAUGGAUGAAGUCCCCUAGAGCCACUGCAUACAGUUGUAUGGUUUGUGUACUGCACAAAGACUCCUGAGGAAGGGGGCAAGUGUGGACUGCAAUCCUGCUUGAGCUCUGCUCACGAAGAUGAGUGCCUGACACCGUGCUAUGGACGCCUGGAAGAAGGUACACUGUUUUGUUUUCUUUUCACUAUGAUAUAUGUGUGUGUAUGUGUACACAUAUAUACACACGUAUGUACACACACACAAUUAUAUUAGCUGAUUGACUGAGACUGGAUUAAUAUGUCUUAUUGUCAUUCUCAGUGUUUCUGUGAAAAUGAGUGCUUGAAAAUAUUUUAUGAGAAAGAGUUAAUUCAUAGGUUUUAUUUCUUAGAGUAGUUUUAGGUUUAUAGAAGAUCUGAACAGAACGUACAGAGGGCUCCCACAUACUCCUACCCACUCCCUCGCACCCCACCUCCAGUUUCCUCUAUUAUUAACUUCCUGCAUUCAUUAUGGUACGUUUGUUGCAAUGGACGAACCAAUAUUGACCCAUUAUUACGAACAUGCUUUACACUAGGGUUCGCUCUUUCUGUUGUACAUUCUAUAGGUUUUGACAAAAGUAUAAUGCCACGUACUCACCAUUUUUUUAUUAUUUCUAUGCUCUAAAACCCCCCUGGGAGUUCCUGUCGUGGCUCAGUGGUUAAUGAAUCUGACUAGGAACCAUGAGGUUGCAGGUUCGAUCCCUGGCCUCGCUCAGUGGGUUGAGGAUCUGGCGUUGACAUGAGUUGUGGUGUAGGUUGCAGACAUAGCUCGGAUCCUGCAUUGCUGUGACUGUGGCAUAGGCCGGUGGGUACAGCUCCGAUUAGACCCCCUAGCCUGGGAAGCUCCAUAUGCCACGGGAGUGGCCCUAGAAAUAGCCAAAAGAAAAAAUAAAUAACUAAAUACCGCCCCUCCCCCACCCAUGUUUCACUUCCCCAAAACCUCCCUCCUUUGCUUAACUUCCCAGGCCCUGGAAACCACUGCUCUUUUUACUGUAUCAUAGUUUUGUGGAAGGUAAACUUUUCUUUGUACAAAGGAAUAUCUCCAGCUGAAAACCACCGGGUUCUUUUCACCCAGAGAUGCACCAAUUUUUAAAAUUUAGCCAAUGCCUUGAGUCUGCAGUCAAACCUAACUUAGGUCCUUUCCCUGGGUCAUUUCAGCGUAUCCCCACUCCCUUAUGUCUCCUUAUCUAGUACAACUUUUCCUCCAUAAACAUUACUCUGUGGUCCCUUUCUCCAUCCAUCCCUCCCUCCCCUUCCGCAAUGCAUUUUCUAUGUCAGCGGUGUCCCAAAGACUUCUUUGCAAUGAUGACAGUGUCCUGCAAUUGGUGUCACCGAUACAGGAGCCACAAGUUUCAUGUGGCUGUUGUGCACUGGAAACGUGGCUGGUGCGAUGGAGGAACUGAAUUCUCAAAUUCUGUUUAUUUUUAAUGAUUUCAACUUAAAUAGCCCCAUGAGGCCAAUAGCUCCUGUGCCACAUGGCACAGAUUUAAGUUUUUGCCCACGCCAGAUCACCCAUGCUAAUAGCAUUCGGAAACUCUUCCCCCUUCCUUCCUACUGCAGGUCCUCUCCUUCCCCUUGGAGUCUUUACUCCUUAGAAAAGACACUGAAUUCUGCCUGACCCCAUUGCUGAAAUCCACAGUUCCUGCACCUGUCACAUUUAUCACCAUCAAACACAGUCUUUCCUUAAACAAAACAUUAACAUGUCUUGUAAAAUCUAUUGAAUUUUAUGAGGCUCGCCCGUGUCCCUUGUUUAUGUGUUUUUAUGUCUCCCUCUGCUAAAGGUUUUCUGUUCAAAACUCUAUACUCCUAGAAAACAGAAUAGAAUUACAUAACUAAUGCUUUAGUUGGCAGUAAUUGCAAGCCAUUGUGAGUGGGUUAAUACAUGCUAUUUUAGAUGAUGGUGACACAACAUUUAAGGUAUGAAAGAGGGGUUAGAGAAGAAACAAUAGCAUCAAAGACAAUUAAGAGUUGUAGUCCAGGAGUCAGCGUGGAGUGAGUCAGGAGCUAUGGACUGGCUUUCAGGAGGCUGGCAGUCUAAGCACAUCUGUGCCCCCAGCAAGCCCAUGACAUUGGUCACAGCAAGGACUCAGCUUUCUCCUUCAUAGAAUGAGGGUUUGGGAGUUCCCUUUGUGGCUCAGUGGUAACAAACUUGAUGAGUAUCCAUAAGGACUAAGGUUCAAUCCCUGGCCUUACUCAGUGGGUUCAGGAUCCGGCGUUGCCAUGAGCUGUGGUGUAGGUCGAAGAUGUGGCUCAGAUCUGACAUUGCUGUGGCUGUGGUGAAGGCUGGCAGCUACAGCUCCUAUUUGACCUCUAGCCUGGGAACCUCCAUGUGCCAAGGGAGCGGCCCUAAAAAGAAAAAAAAAAAAAAAAAAAA
rnacentral:lncRNA from 1 species